rnacentral:lncRNA from 1 species
GAGGGGAAGGAUUUCAUAACAGCACUGCAUUUGAAGCUAACUUGUACUUUCCUGUGACAAAGACUCCAGAUCAUAAGAAUAAAGAUCCAAUGUAGGUGCAACUUGUUCAUGUUCAAUAAACUGUGAUGGGUUUUCGCCAUCAUUUUUUGGACAGCAACCUGUAGCAGCUUUACUUUUUGACAGCUUUCUUAAAUUCUAAGACAAGAACAAAAGAAACUGUUAUCAGAGUGAAGAGGAAACCUAUGGAAUGGGAAAAAUGUUUGUAAACAACUCAUCUGAUAAAUUAUUAAUAUUCAGCAUCUAUAAAGACUCAAGUGACUUAAAUGAGAAAAUGUAUACUUGAAGACUGAAUGCCUGACAAGACUGAAAGGAACACUUGGCCAACACCCAAAGGCUUAAUCUUACCCAAUAUAGAAGUCACCCAGAUUAUGGAUCUGAAGAAUUCCCAAGGAAGAGUACCAAAUACAGAAUACAGAUAAAAGAUUUUAUCUUAUUAAUAU